GAGAUACUAGUUAAAGUGCAUCAUAACAUUGUCUUGUCAAGACAAAAUUGUGGGUUGAAAUCCCACGCAUUUCA
rnacentral:tRNA from 1 species